rnacentral:rRNA from 1 species
UACGAAGGGGGCUAGCGUUGUUCGGAAUUACUGGGCGUAAAGCGUGCGCAGGCGGUCUUCCAAGUCAGUGGUGAAAGCCCGGAGCUCAACUCCGGAACUGCCAUUGAAACUGUUAGACUUGAGGACGAGAGAGGUGAGUGGAAUUCCCAGUGUAGAGGUGAAAUUCGUAGAUAUUGGGAAGAACACCGGUGGCGAAGGCGGCUCACUGGCUCGUAUCUGACGCUCAGGCGCGACAGCGUGGGGAUCAAACAGG